UACGAAGGGGGCUAGCGUUGUUCGGAAUCACUGGGCGUAAAGGGCGCGUAGGCGGCUUUAUAAGUCGGGGGUGAAAGCCUGUGGCUCAACCACAGAAUUGCCUUCGAUACUGGCGAGCUCGAGUUCGGGAGAGGUGAGUGGAACUGCGAGUGUAGAGGUGAAAUUCGUAGAUAUUCGCAAGAACACCAGUGGCGAAGGCGGCUCACUGGCCCGAUACUGACGCUGAGGUGCGAAAGCGUGGGGAGCAAACAGG
rnacentral:rRNA from 1 species